GGCCACCUUCAAGAAUUGAAAAAGAAGUUUAAGCACUGUUAUCAAUAUCAUCCAGCGUAACAGCUUUAUUCAACUGGAGCUAUCAGAGAAAUAUGCAACUGCGAAGUUCUCACGGGAGAAGUCCUGAGCACACUGCAAGGCAUCCUGGGACCACAGUCUCAAGGGUCACAGAGGAAGGGACUUCGGGGCUGAGACCUGCAGGAAGUGAGGGAACUGCAGGCCUGUCCUCACCCAGGGGAGGUGGAGCCCCCAGACGCUGUGAUAUGAAAUUCCAGAUCAUGGGAGGGAGAGUUUGAAGAAGGAAGAACCACCAAUAGAAAGCGGUCCCCAAAGAGGUAUCGGGGAUGGCACCCAGACAGGAGCACAUGUACCACUGCCCAGAAUGUGCAUUUCACUAGACAAGUGACCACAAAAG
rnacentral:lncRNA from 1 species